UUCAGUUCUUGCCUGGUUUACAAUUGAAGCUAAGCAGGUUGAGCCUGGCUAGUACCUGGAUGGGAGACCUCCUGGGGAAAACUAAGGUUGCUGCUGGAA
rnacentral:rRNA from 1 species